AAUGGCUAUGAAGUGAUCGCACUGAUUGUUGGUAACUAGCCUGCCGACACAGAAGAGAAAAGUGAGUGCGGCCGCCUGAGUUAUUUAUGAAAACGACCUAUUCCAACAUCAAGUUAAAUGACCGGAUAAUCAUAUAUCGGAUGAGAGAGAGACGACGAGAGAGAGAAAGUGUGAUGAGCUUCUAGAGCUGCAACUCGCUAUACCUUUGAAGAGAAUAAGGAUUGACCUUAUAUAGCUCAGUUCAGAGCCAUCCCUGAAGCUGUCAAGUCACAUCACUAGAACAGCCUUGCAGCUCGCGCCGCGUGUCUGACGCAGCUCAUAACUGUUGUGUCAGUGGUUAGGCCGUUAACCCAGCUAUGCCUUUAGGGCCUGGUUGGUAGCUUGCUAUCAUGCCUUUGAUGUCUCAAUCUAGGCACGGGAGUUGUCAGAAGAAAACUAACCUCAAAGGCCCGGAUCUAAUGAUAGGCCAGGGCGGUCAGUUACUUGACCCCCCCUCAAGUUUGGAAAUAUUUUUUUUUGCCUUAUAUUUCUAAGAAAAAAUUUCAAUGCCACCUCAAAAAUUAUAAAUGCACACCCUCCAAAAAUAUCUUUCAACGGUUGUCCCCUUGAAAUUUUUUUCAUGGAUCCGCCACUACUACGUGCCAAGUUACCUUUGCUCCUCUUGACCCGUGUCUCAGGAUCGCGCUCUUCCCCCCCCCCCCCCCCCCCCCUGUUGCCCAUCGGCCAAGCUUCAGUGUGAUUACCCUAUCAAACUUGAUUAUUAUAGUGACAACUCGCGAAGUGGAGUCUGCGUGAUCACUAGACCGGAGCUGCGUAGGCGACCCACGAAUUUUUUUUAUAAUGAUAGUUUAGCGGCCGAUGUUGCCCUAGAUAAGGCACCCAGAAAGAAAUUAUGGAUUAUAUAUUUUAUACCUCCGUACAAGAAAACUCAACAUUUGUUCGAUGUACUAUAUCAAUAUUAAAAUUAGAGGAUUGGCUUUAAUUUAUUUAAAAUGCUAACUUAUCCCACUUGUGAGAAAGAUUAUAUCUAGAAAUUGUGUUUAGUAUUGUUCGUAUUUGCUUCAUUGGAUAGAUGAGUGAAUAUAAUGGUCACGAGUUUUUAAAUAUUUGUAUUUAAAAAAAGACUAUUGUUUUAUCUUUCUUUAAAGGAGGCGGUGCCAGAUUUCCGCACGUACGAAAAAAUCAAAUCCAGCGGUAAAAACGAAUGAAGCAAGAGAGCGAGAGGAAAAGAACAAAUGACCGACGAGUGGACUUAUAUGCAGGACUCCCUUCAAAAUUCGGAUAGUUUGCGGUUAUUUAUUUUUUAAUUUUUUAGUUUAUUAUUUUAGUAAAUAAAAUUUAUCGGUUUUCUGUAUUUUUUGAAUUAAAAAAAUUAUAUUUUUUUGACUUUCUUUUAAUGAAAUGAUUCAAAAAUAAAAGUUUAUUAACAACGAAGAAAACAAUUUUUAUUCCAAAAAGCUAUCUAAAACUUUUUUUGGCUUUAUAAUAUUUCUUUAAAUUAAAUAAAAUUUAUAUUUCAUAAUCCUCCUCCUCCAAAAAUUUGAAAAAUAUCAAUUUUGAUAAAAUAGCAAAAGAUUAAUUAAAGAAUAAACAACUCCAAAAACUACUGAAACAAAAAAAACACAAGAACAUAUAUUUCAAAUUGGGUAUCUAGAUGACUAUAAUAUUUUCUUGUUUUUUUUUAAAAAUGCUACAAUACACAUCACAUAUUAUUUGACGCAUUAUGUUGAUGAGAUACCCAAUCAAACUAUUUUUAUUGGUCACAUUGGUCAUUUUACUUAUUAACUAGAUUAACUCUAAUUUAACUAUAAAAUUCUCAUAAAACAAACCAUAAUAGUCAUAAAAUUUACCAACAACAUAUCAUAGAUUCAUACAAUCGUUAUAACAACAUAUCUCACAGCCAUCCAAAAUUCAUAACUAAACUAAAAUCCUAAGAAGCUUUUUUUUUUAUAGAUCGCCCUUUUAAUUGGUAUGUUUCACAUCAAUUAAUACUAUAAAGGACUAAUCCUUAAGGCCCCGAAUUUUAAUUAUUUCUAUUUUAUUAUAAUAAGAAAAUAUAUAUAAAUAUAUUGAUAGAAUUUUAAUAUUUUUGAGAUUUUUAUGAUAAUAUAAUUUUUAUUUAAAAAUAUUUUUUGAUAAAACGAAAUAAAAAGUUAAACAUAUGUCCUAUUUUUAGGACACAUGUCAAGCCUGUGUUAAUAGAUUUGACCAUUUUGGGACACAUGUCAAGUAUGUGUUAAUAGAUUUGACCAUGUGGGACUAGCUCAUGGGAUGACUCACCCUGGCCGUUUGUUUUUCUUUUGUCUUCUUUGAAAGACAAAAAUCUAUAAGAGAGAGAGAGACGGUCCUACGGAGAGAGAAGAAAGUUGGGGCAGAGAGAAGAAAGAAAGAAAGAAAUGGAGAAGAAGGAAUUAAUAUUGUGAUUAUUGAUUAUAAGUGAUUAGAUAUUGAAAUGAUCCGGUGAGAUAAGUAUUUGAUCGAAAUAAAAUUUAGCAUGUGU
rnacentral:lncRNA from 1 species